rnacentral:rRNA from 1 species
AUGCGAGGUUAAGUUGAAUAGACGGAGCCGAAGGGAAACCGAGUCUUAACUGGGCGUUAAGUUGCAGGGUAUAGACCCGAAACCCGGUGAUCUAGCCAUGGGCAGGUUGAAGGUUGGGUAACACUAACUGGAGGACCGAACCGACUAAUGUUGAAAAAUUAGCGGAUGACCUGUGGCUGGGGGUGAAAGGCCAAUCAAACCGGGAGAUAGCUGGUUCUCCCCGAAAGCUAUUUAGGUAGCGCCUCGUGAACUCAUCUUCGGGGGUAGAGCACUGUUUCGGCUAGGGGGCCAUCCCGGCUUACCAACCCGAUGCAAACUACGAAUACCGAAGAAUGUUAUCACGGGAGACACACGGCGGGUGCUAACGUCCGUCGUGAAGAGGGAAACAACCCAGACCGCCAGCUAAGGUCCCAAAGUCAUGGUUAAGUGGGAAACGAUGUGGGAAGGCACAGACAGCCAGGAUGUUGGCUUAGAAGCAGCCAUCAUUUAAAGAAAGCGUAAUAGCUCACUGGUCGAGUCGGCCUGCGCGGAAGAUGUAACGGGGCUAAACCAUGCACCGAAGCUGCGGCAGCGACACUAUGUGUUGUUGGGUAGGGGAGCGUUCUGUAAGCCGUUGAAGGUGUCCUGUGAGGGGUGCUGGAGGUAUCAGAAGUGCGAAUGCUGACAUAAGUAACGAUAAAGCGGGUGAAAAGCCCGCUCGCCGGAAGACCAAGGGUUCCUGUCCAACGUUAAUCGGGGC